rnacentral:rRNA from 1 species
AAAGGAAUUGACGGGGGCCCGCACAAGCGGUGGAGCAUGUGGCUCAAUUCGAGGCAACGCGAAGAACCUUACCUGGGCUUGACAUAUACCGGACCGUCCUGGAAACAGGGCUUUUCUUCGGAACCGGUAUACAGGUGCUGCAUGGCUGUCGUCAGCUCGUGUCGUGAGAUGUUCGGUUAAGUCCGGCAACGAGCGCAACCCGUGUCGUCAGUUGCCAUCAGGUGAUGCUGGGCACUCUGGCGAGACUGCCCGUGUCAAGCGGGAGGAAGGCGCGGAUGACGUCAAGUCCGUAUGGCCCUUACGUCCAGGGCUGCACACGUGCUACAAUGGGCGGCACAAUGAGAUGCGAUACCGCGAGGUGGAGCAAAUCUUCAAAAACCGUCCCCAGUUCGGAUUGGAGUCUGCAACUCGACUCCAUGAAGCCGGAAUCGCUAGUAAAGGGGUAUCAGCAACGGCCCCUUGAAUACGUUCCCGGGCCUUGUACACACCGCCCGU